UACGUAGGUGGCAAGCGUUGUCCGGAUUUACUGGGCGUAAAGAGCGCGCAGGCGGUUGAUUAAGUCGAAUGUGAAAGCCCCCGGCUCAACUGGGGAGGGUCAUUCGAUACUGAUCGACUGGAAGGCAGGAGAGGGUAGUGGAAUUCCCGGUGUAGUGGUGAAAUGCGUAGAUAUCGGGAGGAACACCAGUGGCGAAGGCGACUACCUGGCCUGUUCUUGACGCUGAGGCGCGAAAGCUAGGGGAGCAAACGGGG
rnacentral:rRNA from 1 species